rnacentral:piRNA from 1 species
UCCCCAAAACAUGACUGUGCCCCCAC